rnacentral:rRNA from 1 species
AUUGAACGCUGGCGGCAGGCCUAACACAUGCAAGUCGAACGAGUGGCGGACGGGUGAGUAAUGUCUGGGAAACUGCCCGAUGGAGGGGGAUAAAUACUGGAAAAGGUAGCUAAUACCGCAUACCAUCGGAUGUGCCAAGAUGGGAUUAGCUAGUAGGUGGGGUAACGGUUCACCUAGGCGACGAUCCCUAGCUGGUCUGAGAGGAUGACCAGCCAUACUGGAACUGAGACACGGUCCAGACUCCUACGGGAGGCAGCCGUGUGGAAUAUUGCACAAUGGGCGAAAGCCUGAUGCAGCCAUGCCGCGUGUAUGAAGAAGUCCUUCGGGUUUUAAAGUACUUUCAGUGAGGAGGCGUUACUCGCAGAAGAAGCACCGGCUAACUCCGUGCCAGCAGCCGCGGUAAUAC